rnacentral:rRNA from 1 species
GAUGAACGCUGGCGGCGUGCCUAAUACAUGCAAGUCGAGCGAACAGAUAAGGAGCUUGCUCCUUUGACGUUAGCGGCGGACGGGUGAGUAACACGUGGGUAACCUACCUAUAAGACUGGGAUAACUUCGGGAAACCGGGGCUAAUACCGGAUAAUAUUUCGAACCGCAUGGUUCGAUAGUGAAAGAUGGUUUUGCUAUCACUUAUAGAUGGACCCGCGCCGUAUUAGCUAGUUGGUAAGGUAACGGCUUACCAAGGCGACGAUACGUAGCCGACCUGAGAGGGUGAUCGGCCACACUGGAACUGAGACACGGUCCAGACUCCUACGGGAGGCAGCAGUAGGGAAUCUUCCGCAAUGGGCGAAAGCCUGACGGAGCAACGCCGCGUGAGUGAUGAAGGUCUUCGGAUCGUAAAACUCUGUUAUUAGGGAAGAACAUACGUGUAAGUAACUGUGCACGUCUUGACGGUACCUAAUCAGAAAGCCACGGCUAACUACGUG